GCGCCCUUAGCUCAAUGGAUAGAGCAGCGGCCUUCUAAGCCGUAGAUAUAGGUUCGAUUCCUAUAGGGCGUACCA
rnacentral:tRNA from 1 species